UCGAGCUUCUCACAGCCAGUCAGUGUGACGGUUUUCAUUAGCUCUUAAUUAGGCUCACCUGUGUCACCCCUAUAUUAUGGUGCACACAUGGGGCCUGGUUACAUUUCUCCCUCCGACGGACCAAACCCAAUCAAUGAAAGGACUUGCCGGUGCUUCUUUGGAUUCUUUUUUUGGAACCAUCCAGACAAAUGUGACCGACAGCUAGCAGACGGUGCAUCCACAGCAGUGGAAAGUCUUUAUUUCAGUUCACCUGGGGUCAACGCUCUUACCGUCUGAGAAGGCAGCGUCGGUGCCCUCUCCAAAGCCCAUGGAGCCGUCAGAGAGCCAGAUCUCCUUCUUGGACAACAGGAACAUCUGUGUGUUGAGGCUGAACUCUGCUGCCACGGGGUCACUCACCUGGAGAAAACAAGGAGUUGGCAUAGGAUGCCAUGUUGGAAGUCUGCAGGGCUGCACAUCAUCUACGAUAGUUGGACACUCGGGAAUAAAAUAAUUCAUGCUAAAA